rnacentral:lncRNA from 1 species
GCGUGGAGGAUGGGGAGGGGCCGUCGGGCCCCACCUACGCCGGCGCGCCACCAGCGAGGGGCGUUGUCGCCUCGCUGCGGCCGUCGCGCCGCCGUAGCCUCGGGAGGGAAGGGGACAGAAGGAGAGGAUGGGAAGGGAGGAGGAGGAGGUCGCCCGCCGCCACCGCCCUGCUCAGCUCCGGCGUCGUGCCGCCCGCGAGGGGCGCUGUCGCCUCGCUGCGGCUGCCGCGCUGCCGCCGCCUCGGGAGCGAAGGGGGAGGAGGAGGUCGCCCGCCACCACCGUCCUCCUCAGCCCCGGCGUCGUCUCCCGUAGCCUCGGGAGGACGCGAGAGAGAGAGAGAGAGAGGACGGAAAGAGAGAGAAGGGGGAAAGAAUCU